CCUACGGGAGGCAGCAGUGAGGAAUAUUGGACAAUGGGCGCAAGCCUGAUCCAGCCAUGCCGCGUGCAGGAUGACGGUCCUAUGGAUUGUAAACUGCUUUUAUACGAGAAGAAACACUCCGACGUGUCGGAGCUUGACGGUAUCGUAAGAAUAAGGAUCGGCUAACUCCGUGCCAGCAGCCGCGGUAAUACGGAGGAUCCAAGCGUUAUCCGGAAUCAUUGGGUUUAAAGGGUCCGUAGGCGGUCAGAUAAGUCAGUGGUGAAAGCCCAUCGCUCAACGGUGGAACGGCCAUUGAUACUGUCUGACUUGAAUUAUUAGGAAGUAACUAGAAUAUGUAGUGUAGCGGUGAAAUGCUUAGAGAUUACAUGGAAUACCAAUUGCGAAGGCAGGUUACUACUAAUUGAUUGACGCUGAUGGACGAAAGCGUGGGUAGCGAACAG
rnacentral:rRNA from 1 species